rnacentral:misc_RNA from 1 species
CCAAUAGCGUAUAUUAAAGUUGUUGCAGUUAAAAAGCUCGUAGUUGAAUUUCGGGAUCAAUAUAUCGGUCGUGCCUUGGUACGUACUGGUAUCAUUGGUUUCUCCUUUCUGACGAACCAUGAUGUCAUUAAUUUGGUGUUAUGGGAAGUUAGGACUGUUACUUUGAAAAAAUUAGAGUGUUUAAAGCAGGCUUUAGCUUGAAUACAUUAGCAUGGAAUAAUGAAAUAGGACGUUCGAACCUAUUUUGUUGGUUUCUAGGAUCAACGUAAUGAUUAAUAGGGAUAGUUGGGGGCAUUAGUAUUCAAUUGUCAGAGGUGAAAUUCUUGGAUUUAUUGAAGACGAACUACUGCGAAAGCAUUUGCCAAGAAUGUUUUCAUUAAUCAAGAACGAAAGUUAGAGGUUCGAAGGCGAUCAGAUACCGCCCUAGUUCUAACCAUAAACGAUGCCAACCAGCGAUCCGUCGGUGUUUAUUUGAUGACUCGACGGGCAGCUUCCG